CUGAGUGGCAAACGGGUGAGUAUAAUGUGGGAAUCUGCCUUUUGGUUUGGAAUAACACGGGGAAACUUGUGCUAAUACCGAAUAAGCCCUUACGGGGAAAGUUUUAACGCCGAAAGAUGAGCCUGCACUUGAUUAGCUAGUUGGUAAGGUAAAGGCUUACCAAGGCAACGAUCAAUAGCUGUUCUUAGAGGAAGACCAGCCACAUUGGGACUGAGACACGGCCCAGACUCCUACGGGAGGCAGCAGUGGGGAAUCUUGCACAAUGGGGGAAACCCUGAUGCAGCGAUGCCGCGUGAGUGAAGAAGGCCCUUGGGUUGUAAAACUCUUUCGUCGGGGAAGAAAAUGACUGUACCCGAAUAAGAAGGUCCGGCUAA
rnacentral:rRNA from 1 species